GAAGAACGCUGGCGGCGUGCCUAAUACAUGCAAGUAGGACGCAGUUGCGAACGGGUGAGUAACGCGUAGGUAACUACCUAUUAGAGGGGGAUAACUAUUGGAAACGAUAGCUAAUAACGCAUACUAGUAGAUGGACCUGCGUUGUAUUAGCUAGUAGGUAGGGUAAAGGCCUACCUAGGAAACGAAACAUAGCCGACCUGAGAGUGUUAUCAGCCACACUGGGAAUGGGCCCCGGCCCAACCUCCUACGGGAGGCAGCAAUAGGGAAUCUUCGGAAAUGGGGGGAACCCUGACCGGGCAACGCCGCUUGUGUGAAGAAGGUUUUCGGAGCGUAAAGCUCUGUUGUUAAGGAAGCGGUACUUAACCAAAAAGGGACGGCUAACUCCGUGCCAGCAGCCGCGGUAAUUC
rnacentral:rRNA from 1 species